GGGAGGUAGUGACAAUAAAUAACAAUACGGGGUUCUUUCGGAUUUCGUAAUUGGAAUGAGUACAAUUUAAAUCUCUUAACGAGGAACAAUUGGAGGGCAAGUCUGGUGCCAGCAGCCGCGGUAAUUCCAGCUCCAAUAGCGUAUAUUAAAGUUGUUGCAGUUAAAAAGCUCGUAGUUGAAUUUCGGGAUCAAUUUACUGGUCGUGCAAUCGUACGUACUGGUUUUAUUGAUUCCUCUCUUCUGAAGAACUAUGAUGUCAUUAAUUUGGUGUCAUAGGGAAUCAGGACUGUUACUUU
rnacentral:rRNA from 1 species